CCCUUAGAUGUUCUGGGCCGCACGCGCGCUACACUGAUGCAUUCAACGAGCCUAUCCUUGACCGACAGGUCCGGGUAAUCUUUGAAUCUGCAUCGUGACGGGGAUAGAUUAUUGCAAUUAUUAAUCUUCAACGAGGAAUGCCUAGUAGGCGCAAGUCAUCAGCUUGCGUCGAUUACGUCCCUGCCCUUUGUACACACCGCCCGUCGCUCCUACCGAUUGAAUGAUCCGAUGAAUAUCAUGGAUUGAGAGUACGAAUGGGUUCGCUCAUUUCUGCUGCUCGAGAAGUGAAGUAAAUCUUAUCAUUUAGAGGAAGGAGAAGUCGUAACA
rnacentral:rRNA from 1 species